AACAAUUUUUAGUAUAUAUUACAUUAAAAAAUAACAUAUAUUGAGAAGUGCUAUUAAUGGUGGGUGAUAAAAACACACGGAAUGUUUUAUUUUGGCGCCAUAUGAAAAAACCUCAGGCGCCAAAUGAAAAUUUCUUUUUUGGUCUCAUCUGCCAAAUUUUAAUCCCUAAGUUACCCAAAAAAAUUUCUCUCAGCCUCCAUCUCUCACUCUCGUCUCGUCUCUCCGCCUCUCGUCUCGUCUCUCCGCCUCACGAAGUCUCCAUCUCUCACUCUUGUCUCGUCUCUCCGCCUCACGAAGUCUUCUCAACUCAUCUCUGCCUAAUGAAGACACGCUCCAGAGUGGAGCUCUUUCUCCGCCUCGCGAAGUCACGCUCCAGAGUGGAGCUUCUCUGCCUCACGAAGUCACGCUCCAUAGUGGAGCUCUUUCUCUGAUUGGGUGUUGCUGCGAAGGAGAUGAGAGGUUACUCGUGGCUGAGUUUAUGCCCCAUGAAACUCUCGCUAAGCAUCUUUUUCACUUGUUGGUCCUGAGGAUGCUGCAGUUGUUGGUAAUCAACUGUCAGAAGAAGAGAAAACUACUCUUUAGACUCAACUGAGAGGAUACGAAGCAACACUGAGCAAUUCCCCAAGAGAUCCAACUGCUCUUGAGGGAGCUGCUGUAACCUUGGCUGAGUUAGGAGAAUAUACCCGAGUGGUCUCUUUGCUUGAGAACUUGACAAAGGAGAAGCCAAGUGACCCUGAUGUUUUUUGUUUGCUUGGAGAAGUUAAGUAUAAAAUAAAGGAUUAUGAGGGAAGCGCUAACGCAUAUGAAAGUGCUGCAAAG